AAUGAAAUAUCAAAGGAAGUCAUCUUGAAGAGUUCCAGAAAAGUUUUUCCCAAGAAAGAGACACAGGGAGAGAAGGUCCCAACUUUUCUUCUGCCUGACAAAAUGUCUUUAUGUCAUAGCUGAAAUGGUGACAUGUAUGAAUCUGAGGAUUCCCAUGUGGAUGUCAGUGUGAUGAUUAGGAUGCCUGAUGCUUCCGAAACAAGAAUACACUUUACGAAAAUGCCCAUUGAAAAUACUUUUUCCUUUCUACUCUUGUGCUAAGAGUGCCUGUUUGGACCCCAUGGCUUCGUAAUGGAGAGACUCCUAAGGCCUUCAGCGAUCUGGCAAACUACUUGAAGAUGAGACAAGUUGGCUCUUGAGGAACAUGUAGGGUUGAAGCCAGCAGUGAAGAAAGGAGAUCAUGCAAUCAACCCUUCACUUGAGAGACUGCUAAAAUAAAAAUAAA
rnacentral:lncRNA from 10 species